GUCUAUGGCCAUGUCACCCUGAACAAGCCCGAUCCCGUCUGAUCUGGGAAGCUGAGCAGGGUCAGGUCUAGUUAGUACUUAGAUGGAAGACCGCCUAGGGAGACCAGGUGCUGUAGUCA
rnacentral:rRNA from 1 species